rnacentral:rRNA from 1 species
AUACGGAGGAUGCGAGCGUUAUCCGGAUUUAUUGGGUUUAAAGGGUGCGUAGGCGGACGUUCAAGUCGGCGGUCAAAUGGGCGGGCUCAACCCGUUCUCGCCGUCGAAACUGGGCGACUGGAGUGGGAGAGAGGCAUGCGGAAUGCGCGGUGGAGAGGUGAAAGGCAUAGAUAUCGCGCAGAAAUCCGAUCGCGAAAGCAGCGUGCCUGCUCCUUACUGACGCUGAAGCACGAAAGCGUGGGGAUCGAACAGGAUUAGAUACCCUGGUAGUCCACGCAGUAAGCGAUGAGCACUAUGUGUGCGGCCGGUCAGGCUGCGUGCCACAUCGAAAGCGUGAAGUGCUCCACCUGGGGAGUACGCUGGCAACGGUGAAACUCAAAGGAAUUGACGGGG